rnacentral:tRNA from 8 species
CAGGGAAUAGUUUAAGAAGAAUUUCAGCUUUGGGUGCUGAUGGUGGAGCUGGUGCUUCUUCCUUGA